rnacentral:rRNA from 1 species
GACGAACGCUGGCGGCGCGCUUAACACAUGCAAGUCGAGCGAGAACCAGUCCUUCGGGACUGGGGACAGCGGCGAACGGGUGAGUAACACGUGGGUAAUCUGCCCUCGGCACCGGAAUAGCCCGGGGAAACCCGGAUUAAUGCCGGAUGGCCUCUCUGCCCCUCGGGGCGGCGAGAAAAGGUAGCUUCGGCCUCCGGCCGAGGAUGAGCCCGCGGCCGAUUAGCUUGUUGGUGGGGUAACGGCUCACCAAGGCGACGAUCGGUAGCUGGUCUGAGAGUACGAUCAGCCACACUGGGACUGAGACACGGCCCAGACUCCUACGGGAGGCAGCAGUGGGGAAUCUUGCGCAAUGGGCGAAAGCCUGACGCAGCGACGCCGCGUGCGGGAAGAAGGCCUUCGGGUUGUAAACCGCUUUCAGGAGGGACGAAGCCACUCGGGUUAAUAGCCUAGAGGGUGACGGUACCUCCAGAAGAAGCCCCGGCUAACUACGUGCCAGCCGCCGCAGUAAGAC